ensembl:lncRNA
AUCGCAUUUAUUGCCACUGCAAGCUUUGGAAAAAAAUCUUCAUGUGUGACAUUUCAUCAGCUAGCACAGUGGAGCCAGGGACCAAAUACAUGGAGACCAAAUACAGGUUAUUCUGUACUGCAUACUACCAUCUCUCUAGUAACCUUUUCUGUCCCUCCCUAGCUUUGUCAGUGUCAAGGUAAAAAUGUGUUCCCUUUGUUUCUUACCUUUUUAAGCAGUUUUCCUGACCUGCAGUUCUUUAUUUUUUCAUUUGAUUUGAAUCUAACCUGUAAAGAAAAUGAACCUUUCACCUGCCAAAGAACAUCACUCUUGUGAAUAAGAAUGUAUAUUAAAAGAUGUUUAAAUUCCUUGCAGAAAAGAGUGUUUUAAAGGUAGUUAGAUCUACUGCCUUUCAAAUUUGACUUCUCGUUUUGCAUUAUAUUGCACUAUAUACUGUAUGAAACAUACAAAGUGUACAUCAGAGUGCUAUGAAUGUGCUUCUGACUAUGUAUACUCUACUAUAUUAUACAACAUAAAAUUUAUUUUUAAAAAAUAAACAACAAAUUAUUUCAAAACAGGAUGACAAAACAGAAUGACUGAAGCAUCAUUUGAAAAUGUGGAAAGGGUAUGUCUGCAUAUUUUAAGCGUAAUUUCCACAGCCUCCUUUUAACAUAUAGUUCUACAAACCCCCUUGGUUUUGACAGAGGCAAAAGUAGCAGAAUUUGGUUCCAUAAAACUUUUUCAAUGAAAUCUAUAUAAGUAAGUCCUUAAUUAAACACAGCGUCUCUCACACUGUUACAGAAAAUCAGAUAACAAAGCAAUGGCACCCAACGUGCUGCUAUAGAUGGGUCAUUUCCUACUUCAUUUAUUGUCUCAACGAAUAGUUCACUUUCUCUUCAUUACAUCCAUAUACAUUUUUCUUCUUUGUGAAGAUAAUGUAACAGCAGGCACUGCAGGCCAUGCUUAAAGCAUCAUCAUUCACAAGACCAUAGAGCACUUGAUACAGCACUUUAGGAGCUCACCUAGAUGAAAUCAACGUAGGCCGUGGUUUUGCUCUUGAACAUAUACAGAACAAGCUGAUCCAGCUGCUGGAACCAAAUACCAUUCAUUUUGAAAUUCAGAGGAGAGGCUGCUGAAUUCUACUGGGAUUUCAUAGCAUGGCAAAAGGAAUCCAGUAGCUUCCAGUCUAAGCAGAGAGUGUACUAUGGGAAAAUGAGAGAAAAUCCAGGUAAAGUUUAUUAAUCUGAAAAAUAGUCAUAAUCGUUUCUCUUUGUGCUCUGUUCGUGCUUACUCUCGAUCUAUUCACGUACGAAUAGAAAGGAGUUUUCCAUCAACAGUUUAUGCAGCAUGCCCAUUUUUCAUGCAUUCGUGUGUGACCUUGUCUUACCCUGCAGGUACAAUUGGUUUCUCAGUGACGCACAUUUUGUUAACUUUUUCAUGCUGGGAUUGUAUUGAAGUAAUGCUACUUUUGCCCUCCAGAGUCGCAUCAGGUGAUGGCCAUUCCAAUUGCAAUUUACAGAAAUGGUCUCCUGCAGACUUCCUGGGGAGAACGGAGAUCUCUUACCAGCUGGAGAGACUAACUGUGUCACUUGCAGAGGUGAUCCCUACUGACUCAUGAACAAUUUCAGUCCAGUGGGCCCUUUAAAGCUAUUUCCAUUUUUAUAAAUCCUUCACUGCUCUCCUCUUGAUUGCACAUUUCAGUGGCUCUGCAUGGCUCUGAGAUCCAGGGAUUUCUUUUUCUGUCUCAGCCAUUUGGCUUCAUUGCUUCCCUGUAAAACAUCCAUCUCUUCUCCUGGGAGUCAGCGAGAACAGCGUAGGGCAACCAGGAAUAGCAGCAGGGAAAAUUGAGAGAGGAUGUAAAAGACAGCAUGACCAGAGCAGGCAAGGAGCCAGCAUUUUUGUCCAGGCUGGUCAGCGGGCCAACUUCAAGACAAGUGAGAAACACAGCGGUCUAGCAGCCUACAGCGAAAAGCAACUGAACAGCAGCAACAUCAUUUUCCUUAACUGGGGAUCUGAUCAAAAGCCUGCUUAGGUCAGUAGAAAAAGACUUCCGCUGAGAUCAGUAGACUUUGGAUCUGUCCUCCAAAUGUGCUCCACCUCUGAUAAUUAGAAUAACCUUUUCUGCUGCUUGUUCUUGUUAUCAUUAAAUCCCACACUUCUGUUAUGGAGGAGGUGGACGUGCAUAAUAUAUAACACGUGGGGUGCUUGCAAGGAAGCAGUCCUCCAGAGUCUGGCCUGUAAAACAUUUGUUACUGGUAAAGAUGUGAGAGGAAGAAAAACCCAGACUGGUUCUCAAUCUCUUGAUGAGUUUCCAAAGCAGCAUGAAGCAGGAAAUCCCCAGGUUAGUGGCUGCAA